UUGAAAGGGAAACGAUUGAAGUCAGUCGUACUAACGGGGAAUCAACCUUUUGAGGGUGGACUUGUGGGAUGCAGAGAGCCUUUGUCUUUCACAGCCUGCUUUUUUUGGGUGCAAUUUGUCGUAUUGUAGGUCAGCAUCGGUUUCGACCGUUAUAAAAUGACUGGAGGAAUGUAGCUUCGAUCUCGUAUUGAAGUGUUAUAGCCUUUGGUAGAUGUAACGGAUGGGAUCGAGGAUUGCAAUGAAUGCCCUCAUGGGCUAUCCGCCUGGCCUCUGACAUGUAACUCUGAUGCCGAAAGCUUGCUUAUGGUGUUAUAGUGUACGGUCAAAAGGUUAGAACGGAAUAAAUUCGUUAAGGAUGUUGACGUA
rnacentral:rRNA from 1 species